rnacentral:lncRNA from 1 species
UGAAGAUUUUAUAAUGAUAAAAAUCACAUAGCUUAGACAUUAUUUUACAACUUGUAGCUAAAGCUCAUUUAAUACAUGAUUCUACAACCAAAUGAAAACUUAAACAUAGAUACUUAAAAUUGACCUUGAUGAAUUAUGUGAAAAAUUUCUUUUUAGAUCUCCCAUGAGAUAAUUUUUGCAGGUCUUGCAAACAAUUGUAAGUAGUGAAAAAGAAUUAGUUUGGUCUUCUUUUGACAAUAACUUGUGUA